rnacentral:rRNA from 1 species
ACCGGCGCACGGGUGAGUAACACGUAUGCAACCUGCCUGUAAGAGGGGAAUAACCCGUUGAAAGACGGACUAAUACCGCAUAAUACUAAAUUACUGCAUGGUAAUUUAUUUAAACAUUUAUGGCUUACAGAUGGGCAUGCGCAUGAUUAGAUAGUUGGAGAGGUAACGGCUCCCCAAGUCAACGAUCAUUAGGGGUUCUGAGAGGAAGGUCCCCCACACUGGUACUGAGACACGGACCAGACUCCUACGGGAGGCAGCAGUGAGGAAUAUUGGACAAUGGGCGAGAGCCUGAACCAGCCAAGUCGCGUGCAGGAAGAAUGUCCUAUGGAUUGUAAACUGCUUUUGCAGGGGAAUAAAGUGAGCCACGUGUGGUUUUUUGUAUGUACUCUGCGAAUAAGGAUCGGCUAACUCCGUGCCAGCAGCCGCGGUAAUACGGAGGAUCCGAGCGUUAUCCGGAUUUAUUGGGUUUAAAGGGUGCGUAGGCGGGAUAAUAAGUCAGUGGUGAAAGUUUGCAGCUUAACUGUAAAAUUGCCGUUGAAACUGUUAUUCUUGAGAGUAGAUAAGGUAGGCGGAAUGUGUUGUGUAGCGGUGAAAUGCAUAGAUAUAACGCAGAACCCCGAUUGCGAAGGCAGCUUACCGGGCUACCUCUGACGCUGAUGCACGAAAGCGUGGGGAUCAAACAGGAUUAGAUACCCUGGUAGUCCACGCC